UUUUUUAAAUUAAAGGGUACAAACAGGGCCUUUCUUCUCUGCAGCAAAAAAGAAAAGGAAAAAAAACCCUUGAACUUUUGGGCUGCAAUCUCCCCUUUCCGUUCCCCAAAAACACCUCCACCACCGUCGUCUUCGUCGGCCGUGCCACCUAAACACCACCAUCGGCUCUAUUUCUCUUUCUUCUUCAUUACAACAAACAAAAGCAUAAAAUCACUUGAACUUCCGUCUGCAAUCUCCCAUUUCCGUUCCCAAAAACACUUCCACCGCCGACAUCUUCAUCUAUUGUGCCACCUAAACACCACCAUCGGCCCACCACUCAUUCAUUUACGAAUUCUUCCACGACGUCGUUUUACAACCCCAGCACGGCAUCCGCUACUACUCCUGCAAGUAAAGCUAAAGAAAAUGUCACCGUUACUGUACGAUUUCGGCUCCUCAGUUAAUGUAUUUCUUCUUUUCUUUAAAUUCGAUGACUCCUAGAUGUUGGUAGUAAGUGGGUUCCACAAAUACGUAGGAUAGUUUCGUUAAUGGUGUUUGGAAGACUGAUUUUUUUGGUGUAUUUGUUGACUUGUUUGUUUUUGGGAUUCUUAGGUGAUGAUAUGAGGCAUAUUUUAGUUUUCAGUAUAAUCAAUUUUAGUAUUUCUUUUUUUCCAUGAAUUCUCUUUAUUAGGACUUCAGAAUUUGUUGCUACAUAGCUCGAGAUACAAGGACUUCAGAAUUGGUUGCUAUCAAAGUGAUAUCAUUAGCUGAAGGGGACCUAAUUAUAAUCCUUUUUUUUCAAUUGCAUAUAAUAAUACUACAUAAGUUUAGUGGAUGGAAUAUGAAGUUUGAAAUCUCAUAAUUAUAGGAUGGUUAUGAAGAAAUUCGUGGUGAAAUUGAGAUGUUGCAGCAAUGUAGUCACCCUAACAUUGUUUGCUAUCUAGGUAGCUACCAAGGAGAAGAAUAGCAUUGGGUAUGAAGAAGAUCAUAGGCCUUCAAUUAUAUAAUAAUUUUUUAUCUUUUUGGGAUGGUACCGAGACCAUGAUGCUGUGUACCCCCUCCGUUUGGUUUCUAAAUCAGAUGACAACUGUUAGUUAUUCACAUGAAUUUAAAUAUCUGAGAAUUUUGUAUUUGUUGGCAUAUUGUAAUGGAUUAUUUUGGGGGCAGGAGUGUUGCUGACUUGAUGAAAGGCCUUAGCCUCUAGAGGAGUGUAAAAUGGCAUAUAUCUGCAGAGAGGCAUUGAAGGUACCGUCAUUUUGGUUAGUUAUAUUUCAAAAUCGAACUUUUUUAUCUUUACUACAGAUUUGUAUAAAUGUGUCCUUAAAAAUGCUGGGAUUGUUAUUGGGUAAUAGGGAAUGAUUUUGUCCAUGAGAUAAUGCUUGACCAUCCAAGGUUAAAAUAUUUCAUGACUUGGCACGA
rnacentral:lncRNA from 1 species